GGACACCAUAUUCCGCUCUGGCAUUCCGACGAACAACCUACACGUGGUGGCUUGAGGAUCGAGCUUCACAUAGAAGUUGAUAAGGACGUUGGCGCAGAAGGUGACCAGGCACGGCCUCCUCCUCCUUGGACAGUGCCUGCAACAACUUCUCGACGUCCUCAUAAAUGCCGAAGAUGCCCUUCUCCACCAGAUCUUGUUAUUUUAAGGUCGAUAUCUUUUGGAUCAAUAACCACAUCAACUUCAUCAGCCUACUAUAUCAUUGAAACAAUAUUAGGCAUCAAAGAAGAAGAGGGAAUUCAUGUCAUAAAACUCCACAUGAAUAUCAAAAU
rnacentral:misc_RNA from 1 species